UACGGAGGGGGUUAGCGUUGUUCGGAAUUACUGGGCGUAAAGCGCACGUAGGCGGAUCAGAAAGUUGGGGGUGAAAUCCCGGGGCUCAACCCCGGAACUGCCUCCAAAACUCUGGUCUUGAGUUCGAGAGAGGUGAGUGGAAUUCCGAGUGUAGAGGUGAAAUUCGUAGAUAUUCGGAGGAACACCAGUGGCGAAGGCGGCUCACUGGCUCGAUACUGACGCUGGAGGUGGCGAAAAGGUGUGGGGGAGGCAAAACAGGAUUAGAUACCCCCCGUAGUCC
rnacentral:rRNA from 1 species